rnacentral:rRNA from 1 species
CCCCGGUAAACGGCGGCCGUAACUAUAACGGUCCUAAGGUAGCGAAAUUCCUUGUCGGGUAAGUUCCGACCUGCACGAAUGGCGUAAUGAUGGCCAGGCUGUCUCCACCCGAGACUCAGUGAAAUUGAACUCGCUGUGAAGAUGCAGUGUACCCGCGGCAAGACGGAAAGACCCCGUGAACCUUUACUAUAGCUUGACACUGAACAUUGAGCCUUGAUGUGUAGGAUAGGUGGGAGGCUUUGAAGUGUGGACGCCAGUCUGCAUGGAGCCGACCUUGAAAUACCACCCUUUAAUGUUUGAUGUUCUAACGUGGACCCGUAAUCCGGGUUGCGGACAGUGUCUGGUGGGUAGUUUGACUGGGGCGGUCUCCUCCUAAAGAGUAACGGAGGAGCACGAAGGUUGGCUAAUCCUGGUCGGACAUCAGGAGGUUAGUGCAAUGGCAUAAGCCAGCUUGACUGCGAGCGUGACGGCGCGAGCAGGUGCGAAAGCAGGUCAUAGUGAUCCGGUGGUUCUGAAUGGAAGGGCCAUCGCUCAACGGAUAAAAGGUACUCCGGGGAUAACAGGCUGAUACCGCCCAAGAGUUCAUAUCGACGGCGGUGUUUGGCACCUCGAUGUCGGCUCAUCACAUCCUGGGGCUGAAGUAGGUCCCAAGGGUAUGGCUGUUCGCCAUUUAAAGUGGUACGCGAGCUGGGUUUAGAACGUCGUGAGACAGUUCGGUCCCUAUCUGCCGUGGGCGCUGGAGAACUGAGGGGGGCUGCUCCUAGUACGAGAGGACCGGAGUGGACGCAUCACUGGUGUUCGGGUUGUCAUGCCAAUGGCACUGCCCGGUAGCUAAAUGCGGAAGAGAUAAGUGCUG